GGGAGAGAGGAGGGGGAAAGGAAGAAGGGGAGGGGGAGAUGGGGAGAGAGGAGGGGGAAGAUCCUCCUGUCUUCUUUCUGACCUCCACCAGGGUCUCUUGACUGUCUGGUCUCUUCCUGAUCUCAUUAAAUGCUGCCUAUUUGUCUCCAGUUUUCUCUGUUUUUUUCUUUGUUUUCUCCUGUAACUUCUACCCCUCCUUCCUCUCUUUUUCCUGCCCUCUUCCCAUCCUCAUUUUCUUUGAUAGGAAUUUCCACAACUCAGGGGUGAACCAUGUCAGCUGCUAACCCAGUCAUCUGUGUGGGAGAAGCCAGCCAGGAGGGACAGUGAUACUGAGAAAUAACAGAAGGAAGAAAAGCAGCUUUUCCCAUCUGCAGUAUCAAUGCAAUAUCAAUAGAAUCAAUGUCCUCUGAAGAAAGCUACUGAAAGAUUUUGAAAAUAAGAGAUGAACUUUGAGCACGUUAUUUUUGAGGAGCAGGUAUUUUGCCUUGUGAGGUAUAAAGCGUCUUGGUGCCCAAAUAUCCCUGAUACAUGUUUAUUCUCCUUUUGGACAGAGGGGUCAAGCCACACCCCACUAGAUGGGAACACAGGUCAUGGUCAGUGCCACCUUGGUUCUGGCAUUGACCUUCACCUCAGCUUUCCAGGGGAUGCAGGCAGAAUGCGGCACCCUGCAGUGAGUUAACCUGUGAGACAGGAGAGUCAUCUGAACUACACACCAAGAACCUCCCAGUAACAUCCUGGAACAGGGAGGGGUGAAACCUCCGCUCUCCUAAAACAUAAAUCAGAGAUGUGGGGAGCUCUUGUGCUCUAAGGAGGAGAUUUGAGAGGCAUGCUGAAUUUCUGCGGUCAUACCAAGGGCUGAGGACACUAGCCAACAAGAGUUCCCUUGCAAACUCCAGAAAACACGCCUGGUCCUCUGACUCCUCGGCAGGUUCUUCAGGUUAUCUCACAUCCUGCUGCUUUGGAAUAACACACACAGUGUGUCUGCAUGGAGGCACUAGAAGGUUGCCACCCUUUGCCCCCCCCCCCCAAUAAGACUCCAAUCUGAUGAAAGAUUUGAACUGGAGGCUCAAGGACAUUAAGUGGCCAGUGCAUUCAUCCAACAAAUCACCCACACUGUAGUAGCCAUGACAACUACUAGAACACAAUGCCCUCUGAGAAGAUCCACUCCAUACUCUCGUGAGGUGUGGAUUAUCCUUACCCGACUAAAACACAAAAUGGACCAAUUAAGAGUAGGUCCAGACUUUGGAUAAAAAGCCUGUUUAUCUCCAUAUUUGGAUCCCUAGAUUCUAUAGCCUUGCCAAAGACUUAACAAUAAUGAAAGCCACUGGAAAACCAUCAGAUUAUGUAGAGGAUGCUGGGAAAGAAUUAUCCUAAGAGGGGCCCAGCUUCCCUUCCUACUGUGUUAUGUUGACGAGCUGCAGAAGAGGAGCAGGGUGUGUGGAAAAGGAAACAGCGGCAACCCUUCAACAAAGCUUAAUAGGUUGAAAGGUUUCCUGACUAGC